UGAAACACGGACCAAGGAGUCUAACAUAUGCGCGAGCUAAUGGGUGGAAAACCCAACAGCGUAAUAAAAGUAAACGCCGUUUCGGACGGCUAAGGUACGAUCCUAGUGUCCUUUGCGACAUUAGGCGCAGUACUGUCCCGUCCCGACCGCAUGUCGGUAGGGCGGAGAUAGAGUGCAUACGUUGGGACCCGAAAGAUGGUGAACUAUGCCUGAGCAGAGCGAAGCCAGAGGAAACUCUGGUGGAGGUUCGUAGCGGUUCUGACGUGCAAAUCGAUCGUCAGACUUGGGUAUAGGGGCGAAAGACUAAUCGAACCAUCUAGUAGCUGGUUCCCCCUGAAGUUUCCCUCAGGAUAGCUGAUACUCGGGAAAUCAAGAAGUUUUAUCCGGUAAAGCGAAUGAUUAGAGGCCUUGGGGACGAAAUGACCUCAACCUAUUCUCAAACUUUAAAUGGGUAAGAAGUCGAGCUUGCUCGACCGAAGCCCGGCAAACGAAUUCGAGUAUCAGUGGGCCAUUUUUGGUAAGCA
rnacentral:rRNA from 1 species